rnacentral:tRNA from 2 species
GCCCCCGUAGCUCAGGGGAUAGAGCAACGGCCUCCGGAGCCGUGUGCGCAGGUUCGAAUCCUGCCGGGGGUAC